rnacentral:rRNA from 1 species
ACCGGCGCAAGGGUGCGUAACGCGUGAGCAACAUGCCCGUAUCAGGGGGAUAAUCCAGGGAAACUUGGUCUAAUACCGCAUAAUGAUCCUUUGAGGCAUCUUUAAGGAUUUAAAAUUUCGAUGGAUACGGAUUGGCUCGCGUGACAUUAGCUGGAUGGUAGGGUAACGGCCUACCAUGGCUACGAUGUCUAGGGGUUCUGAGAGGAAGGUCCCCCACACUGGAACUGAGACACGGUCCAGACUCCUACGGGAGGCAGCAGUGAGGAAUAUUGGACAAUGGAUGGAAAUCUGAUCCAGCCAUGCCGCGUGCAGGAAGACGGCCCUAUGGGUUGUAAACUGCUUUUGUAUGGGAGCAAUAAGGGUUACGUGUAGCCUGAUGAGAGUACCAUACGAAUAAGGACCGGCUAACUCCGUGCCAGCAGCCGCGGUAAUACGGAGGGUCCGAGCGUUAUCCGGAUUUAUUGGGUUUAAAGGGUGCGUAGGCGGUUUUAUAAGUCAGCGGUGAAAUUCUCCGGCUCAACCGGGGGACUGCCGUUGAUACUGUAAGGCUAGGAUAUGGUUGCUGUGGGUGGAAUGUGUGGUGUAGCGGUGAAAUGCUUAGAGAUCACACAGAAUAUCGAUUGCGAAGGCAGCUCACAAAGCCAUCAUUGACGCUGAGGCACGAAAGUGUGGGGAUCAAACAGGAUUAGAUACCCUGGUAGUCCACACU